rnacentral:misc_RNA from 1 species
GAAGAAAUGAGCAUGAGUGAAUUCUAAUGGUGAUAAAAAGCUGCAAGCAUGUUUUAAGCAGGAUGGGAAUUCAGAGUUAUGAUGGGAUUGUUGGAGUGAAUCCAAGUCCCAGCCCACCAUUUAUUUACAGAAGAACUUAUUCCCUUUGCCCAUCACCAAUGUCUCCCCCUAAUUUUGUCUAUUCUUUUAGGCUAAAAUUUCUAAAGCACAAAGCAGCUGUUCAUGUGUUAAAGAUAUUUGAAGGGAUGCCCAUCCAAGAGUCUGUUCUUCCAAGCAAAUAAUGACUUAAAACUUGGAGCUUUUUGUGAUGCAGACUGCGCAUCAUGCCCAUUCUCGAGAAAGUCCAUCACAUAUUUUUGCAUCUUUCUUGGUCCCUCUCUGAUUUCAAGGAAAGUCAAGAAGCAAUCAACUGUUAGUCGGUCUUCUGCUAAAGCAGAAUAUAGAAGUAUGGCCAUGACAAUGUGUGAACUUCAAUGGAUUAGCUAUAUACUUGGCUAAUUUUGUCUCAAGAUUCAGCUUCCAAUCGCUCUCCAUUGUGACAACAAAGCGCAAUUACUCUAAUAUACAGAGUUCUCCUCAUCUCUUCUAAAUCUCUUUUGCCUAGCAAUGAAAGCUUCCACUGUGCUCCUGAACUCCUCAUUGCUCAUACUAUCCUCAGGAUACGAAAUUUUCAUCCAUCCCUC